CGAAUUCUUAUUCAGGCCCAUUACCGCACUGCCAUAUUGGCCCGAAGCAAAUCCAACUAGGGUUCUUAUUGCAUUUCUCCGAUUCGAUUUCCGAUUAUUGCUUCGUAGCACUCCGCAUCAUGGACGGAAAUCAUGGCCAGGAAAUCAUGAAGAUUGGGAUGACUGAAAUAGAAGAUGCGAAUAAUGAAACUGAUCUGGAGACAAACUACAAUUCGAAGCAAGCAUUGGG